GCGUGAGUGAUGAAGGCCUUAGGGUUGUAAAGCUCUUUUGCCAGGGAUGAUAAUGACAGUACCUGGAGAAUAAGCUCCGGCUAACUCCGUGCCAGCAGCCGCGGUAAUACGGAGGGAGCUAGCGUUGUUCGGAAUUACUGGGCGUAAAGCGCGCGUAGGCGGCUUUGUAAGUCAGAGGUGAAAUCCCGGGGCUCAACCCCGGAACUGCCUUUGAAACUACAUCGCUAGAGUCUUGGAGAGGUGAGUGGAAUUCCGAGUGUAGAGGUGGAAUUCGU
rnacentral:rRNA from 1 species